GUGUGUUCCCUUGAAAUGUUGAGUAUAAGGUAACAGCCUAUCUCUUUGGCUCAGGAAAAAGAUCCACUGGAAACUAGGCCGGGAAGCAGCAGCCCCUCCAAGGGCCAGGGCACCUGGGAGACGGGAGGAUUCCAGAACAGCAGCACUGAGCUCCCACCCGCAGAGCCUCUGGACGGCCUUGGCAACAGCAAAAUCAUGGGACAACACCUCUCUCCACGGAAAGGUCACAGUGGACAGCCCGGGCAGUAGGAUGCAGCCCCAGAGGCUGGUGGCAGUUUCCUGUCCAUUGAAAAGGAAAGCACAGGCUAAGCAGUUGAAGGUUCCCCACCAUUCAGUGAGAGCAGAACCCCCAUUCCCCAGCCUCUGCUGGUAGCAUGUCGCAGUUUCCAUGUGUUUCAGGAUCUUCGGGCUGUCGUUAGACAGGUUAAUGAAGAACACUUCUCAACAGUUUCCUUUUUGUUUUCCUUUAUAAUUCACUAAAAUAAAGCAUCUAUUAGUGUCUGAUUUAGGAAUGUAAAAUGAUUCUGUAUUAAUGUAAAUAAGAUUAUCUAUUGCAAAAAGAUAUUUCAAACCUAAA
rnacentral:misc_RNA from 1 species